CUCAAACAGUGCGGAGCGAGCUUGGGGUGCUCAGGCGGCGACGUGGGACAGGGCCGGGCAGGACCAUUCUGUAGCUGGACGGGCGGUCCACCAUGAGUCAAGUUCUGUUUCGGCAGCUGGUCCCGCUGCUGGUGAAGUGCAGGGACUGCGAGGAGAGAAGAGUAAAUGUUAGAGUGAGCAUUGAACUCCAAGCAGUUUCUAAUCCAGUACAUCGAAAGGAUUUAGUCAUUCAGUUGACUGAUGAUGCUGAUCCAUUUUUUCUGUAUAACCUUGUUAUAUCUGAGGAAGAUUUUCAGAGUUUGAAACUUCAGCAGGGCCUUCUGGUAGACUUUUCAGCUUUUCCACAAAAAUUUAUAGAUCUACUGCAGCAAUGUACCCAGGAACAAGGCAAAGAAAUUCCACGGUUUUUGCUACAGUUAGUUUCUACAGCAGCGAUAUUGGAUCACUCACCUGUAUUUUUAAAUGUGGUGGAGACAAAUCCCUUUAAGCAUCUUACACAUCUUUCUCUAAAACUUCUACCUGGAAAUGAUAUGGAAAUAAAGAAAUUUUUAGCAGGCUGUUUGAAAUGUAGCAAGGAAGAAAAAUUAUCAUUGGAGCAAACACUGGAGGAUGUUACCAGGCAGUUAAACUUUACACAACAGACGUUGGCAGAAAAGAUCCAGGAAUUAGAUAAGUUACGAAAUGAAUGGACAUCACACACAGCGGCACUGACAAACAAGCAUUCUCAAGAACUGACAAAUGAGAAGGAAAAAGCCCUCCAGGCACAGGUUCAAUCUCAGCAACAGCAUGAACAACAGAAAAAAGAACUAGAAAACAUACAUCAAAGAAAUGUUCACCAGCUUCAGAGCAGAUUGUCAGAAUUGGAGGCGACCAAUAAAGACUUAACAGAAAGGAAGUACAAAGGAGACUCCACCAUUAGAGAACUUAAAGCAAAACUCUCUGGUGCAGAAGAUGAGUGCCAGAGGGCUAAGCAAGAAGUCCUCUCUCUGAGAAGAGAGAAUUCUACACUUGAUGCUGAAUGUCACGAAAAAGAGAAGCACAUUAAUCAGCUUCAAACUAAAGUGGCUGUUUUGGAACAGGAAAUCAAGGAUAAAGAUCAGCUUGUUAUAAGAACAAAAGAAGCAUUUGACACAAUUCAGGAACAAAAGGUGGCCCUAGAAGAAAAUGGAGAGAAGAAUCAGGUACAGCUAGGAAAACUUGAAACCACAAUAAAAUCAUUAUCUGCUGAACUUCUUAAGGCAAAUGAAAUUAUCAAGAAAUUACAAGGUGAUAUGAAAACUUUAAUGAGCAAAUUAAAACUGAAGAAUACAGUUACAAUUCAGCAAGAAAAACUACUGGCUGAAAAGGAAGAAAAAUUGAAAAAAGAACAAAAGGAGGUACAAGAUAUUGGACAAGCUCUCCGGAAUAAAGAGCAAGAGGUAAGCAAAUUGCAAGAACAGUUAGAAGUUACAGUACAAAAACUUGAAGAGAGCAAACAGCUUCUGAAGAAUAAUGAAAAAUUAAUCACGUGGCUAAAUAAAGAACUGAAUGAAAAUCAGCUAGUAAGAAAGCAAGACCUAUUGGGAUCCUCCACAACUCCAGCUGCUCAGCCUGGCAACACCACCAUCAGAAGUGGAAUUUCUCCUAAUCAGAACAUGCUUGAUAACAGACUACCUCUUCCAAACUGUGGAAUUGGCUAUCCUGUUUCUUCUGCAUUUACUUAUCACAGUACCUUCCCUCAUCCUGUAGCUUCGAAAAGCACUGCUCAUCCAGUUUCUGGACCAAAGGUUCAGUUUAACUUGCAGUUUGCAAAAACAAAUACUUCAGGAGAUAUUCCUUCAGGAGGAUCUAUUAAUAUGCCUCACUCAACUGAUAAAGAGAAUGGUGAAAAUUUGGGCCUGGAAUCGAAAUAUUUGAAGAAAAGGGAAGAUAGUAUUCCAUUACGAGGGCUUAGUCAAAACCUCUUUAGUAAUCCAGAACAUCAGAAAGAUGGCUCUUUAACAACAGUACAAGCUUCAGCAAAACCUGCAGUGCUCCCUCCUUCUGUAGCUUCGGCAUAUUUUCCUGGACAGUGACCAGACCUGCAGCUUUGCUUUGUGAAGUAUUGAGAGAAUGGCAGUGGUUCUGGUUCUGGUCUUAACAUAGCAACAUAAAUGCAGCAAGAUAACUCUGCCUUUGACUUCAGUGAUUGCUGACGAUUUAGUGUUUUAAUCCCACAAAGAGAUGCUGCCUUGGCUGUCUGUGGAAAAUAUCACGGAAGAACUGAAUUUGGACUUUGACCUUGGUCUGUAUUUCCCAGAGAGGCCAUGUCUGCUGAGGAGCAACCCUUCCAGCAUAGAUGCCUCAUCCAGAGAAGAAUUUCAAGAGGACUUAACAAAGAGAAAAUGGACACCAAGGCCCUACAGUUUCUGGGUCUCCUGCACCUGACAUCAUGAACUCUGAAACCAUCACUUCAGCUGUCCUCUCAUCCUGGAACUUCCCUUAAGUGCCUGAGGCCUCCUUUACUACUGGAACAUCUAACUCCCUCUGUCAACUUUCUCACUCUCGAAUGUCCUUCCCUCCAGGACAUUCUCCCUUCUCCCACCAGUGAGUCCCUCAUGAGGCCUCCAUUUUGUGAAGGAGCCCAGGUGAGUCAGCCUUCAUUCCUUGCAUGGCUCUGCUCCUGGACUUGCAGAUGUCAAAACCAUUCCUCCUCAGAGAACAGAGAGCCGGGUCUAGAGUCAGUAAGACCCGAGUUUAAAUCCAGUCUCAGAUAUUUUCCUAACUGUGUGACCCUGAACAAGUUGCCAAACCUCUGUCUGUCUGAGUUUUCACAACUGUAAAAUAGGGUAAUAACAGCACCUACCUCCCAGAGUUGUUCUAAGGAUCAAAUGAGAUAUUUGUGAAGCAGUAGACACUAUAUAAAUGCUCAUUCACUUCCCUUUUCCUUCCUCCUCCAUCAUGUACCUUUAGCCAUUCAGCUCCCAUCCCCAAUCCCUUAUUGCUCCCUUUUGACUGUAGUCUUCCUCCAUUAAAAUGUAAGCUCCUUGAGGGUAGGAACUGUCUUUUCCAUUGUAUUUGUAUCCCUGGCAUAAAUGUUUGUUUCCUUCUUUCUAACAGAAUUCCACUACAGGAUUUCCUCAGCUAUGAAUAACAAUUGAAAUUUAUCUAUACAGCACUUUACGGUUUGCAAAAUGCUUUGCAUAUUUUCUCUUCUGAAUCUCACAACCCUGUGAAGUAAAAUAUUGCAGAUUAUUACUGUGGUAAAGUAGGGAUCCACUUUGUAAAUGAGGCUGAGAGAGGUUAGAUCACUUCCCCAUUGUCACAAAGUAGGUGUCUGGCAAGAUCUGUGGGAUGUAGUUUGAAGUCUCUAGGCAACCAAGUUGUUACCACUGUGCUAAAUCCUCUCACUUUCUUCUUCCUGUUCUAAUAUAGAAUCAAACAUCCUUUUCAAACUUUUAUUCUCCCCUACCAAACAGUCUCAUCUCAAUGUAUUCUGAACUAUUCUUACCAGGUUUGGUUAAAUUGGUUUAUGCCCAGCCAUCAAAAAGAGCAAAGCAUGAAAUUGUCUCUCCAAAAGUUAUGAGCAGAGACAAUGAUGAUCCUCAGUUAGUAGAAACUAUACUGUUUCAUAAAAACAAAAAAGCUAGAACACAUCGUGUAUAUUGAUCUUUACUUUGUAAAUGCAGAAUCAUGUUUUGAUAACCAGUCUUCGUUUUGUCAAUCAGAAAUGGAGCUGAGGAAUAAUUUUCCAUCAAGAGGCCUGUAUACUUACUCAGCUUAUUUUUUCCCUUAUAAGUAGGCCAGCAGAUAUCCUUUCUCUAUAUUGAAAAAGUCUCCAAUAAUAAAGCAUACUAAAACAGCAGAUAAAAAGCUUUUAUACUUUUUUAACAACCUCACCACUGGCCCCCGUCAUAUU